UGUGUAAUAGAAGCCAAAUAUGGAGCAGUUGGCUGCCGCCGCCGCAGCUCAAGGAUCCGACUUCAUGGGGGGGUGGGGGCACCCUCUGGCAGGCGGCCCGGCGAGCCGCACAGAGCGCGGCGAGCGCACCGCGCAGCGGCCGGCCCGCGCCCUUAACCCUUCAGUGCACCAGGCCCCCGGGAAGGCCGAACUGUAGCUCGGGAUCGGGGACGCCGGCCGGCCCGAGGGGACUGAGCCUUCCAGGUCCGGAAAUCUGCAGCGGGCACCGAACUUCUCAGCUCUAGCCCUGAGAGCCCAGCGGCUCACUCCUCUGGCAGCUAAUUCGGGAUCGUUCAUCGGAAGUGAGAAUGAACAUGCAGAAUGGAAGACCCUGUCAGCUGUGACACCAGUGAAUCAAGAGGAAGAAGACAAAUUAUCCACUCACACCCCUGAAGCCAAAAUCUUACUCUGCUAGCUGCACUGUCACAGCAGAGCUUUUCGUCUUUGCCAGAUAUUAAGAGAAAUUAAUACAUUGUAAUCGUAAUAAAUAUACAGUCAUGGA